rnacentral:lncRNA from 1 species
ACUUUGUGUCUCUAUCCCUUAGUGACUUGGAACUCAUUGUACACAGGCUGGCCUGGAACCCGAGGAAAUACUUAAAAGAUCUGCACCGGCCCACUGGGUGCUGUAGUUACAGCUGUGAGCAGUCCCUGUCCGUGUUCGGUCCAUCUUUCUCUUUCUUUACUGCUCCCCGGCUGUCAACCGACCUGCUCUCCACGCCCAGCCCGGGAGCUCACUCCUAGAAGCAUCUUCUUUUUUCACUUCCCACUACGAAAACUAUCCUGAUUGUCAAGGGUCAUUAGAAAAGGCAAACACCCAAAUAUUAAGUAUAUAGAUUGACUAGUACUACACUGCUCUCAGAAAUGGAUAAAAAACAAGAAAUAUGGCAUAUGGUUUUGUAUUUUGAUAGUUUUUUUUUUUUUAAUUGUUUUUAGUUUUUCAAGACAGUGUUUUCCUGUAUAGCCCUGGAACUCGAUAGACACCAACCUGGCCUUGGACUCAGAGAUCCAUUUACCUCUGCCUCCUCAGAGUGCUGGCAUCAAAGAUGUGUGCCAUCACUGCCUGGCAGUAGCUUCUUUAGCAACGUUGUCAAUAAGGACAUGCAUGUAUUACCUUUCCUACUAGAAACUCCUCUUAUCUAGUGUGAGUUUCUUCCCUUGAAGACCAAGUCCUUUGUGCCCCAACCCAUUCAGUGUAGGCAGAGAGGGAGUCAGAUCCUGGUCGGAGCUCACUGGGAAACCUUCGAGUAUAUACGGGAUGACUUUGCAGGCCUAGGAGAGCUAUGAAUGAAUUUGCCCUGGAAGAGUACCUAAUCUAGCAGCAGCUUGGCUAGGUGCUUGGUUUUUUCUCUGCCUAUCUUUAGUGCCUGUACACAUUCCUGACUUGGGUACAAUAGAAAUAGCUUCAUAUAUGAUGCUGCUAUCUCCCAGUGAUUUUUUUAGCUGCCUUGAGCUGUUCUAGAAACCAUUAUUUGGAACUAGAGACAAAAGAGCGGGCCACUGGUGGCACACCUUUAAUCCCAGUAUUCAGGAGGUAGAGGCAGUUGGAUCUGUGUGUGGCCACCCUGGUCUACAAAGCAAGUUCUAGGACAGCCAGGGUUACACAGAAACCCUGUCUCAAAAAGUGAAAAAAGAGAAGAAUGUUCGCUGGUAUGGCAGUGUUCCCUUGUAAUCCCAGUAUUUGAGAGAGGCAGGUGGAUUAGCUCUUUCUGUCUUGUUUUUGUGUCUCCCCUGUCCCCCUUCUUUAGCCCUAUAUAUUUUUUUGAAACUCACUAUGUAGACUAGCCUGGCCUCUCGAACUUUGAGCAAUUGUACUGCCUCUGCCUCCUAAAUGACUGGAAUUACAGGUAUAGUAAAAUAUACCAGGAGCUGAAGGACAACAUGGGCUACUUGAGACCUUGUC